rnacentral:rRNA from 1 species
UACAGAGGGUGCAAGCGUUAAUCGGAAUUACUGGGCGUAAAGCGUGCGUAGACGGUUGCGUAAGUCAGAUGUGAAAGCCCCGGGCUCAACCUGGGAAUUGCAUUUGAGACUGCGUAGCUAGGGUGCGGAAGAGGGAAGCGGAAUUUCCGGUGUAGCGGUGAAAUGCGUAGAUAUCAGGAGGAAUACCGGUGGCGAAAGCGACUCUCUGGACGGCAACUGACGCUGAGGCACGAAAGCGUGGGGAGCAAACAGG